rnacentral:tRNA from 1 species
GCCUGAAUGGCUCAGUGGUUGAGCAUCUGCCUUUGGUUCAGGGCAUGAUCCUAGGAUCUUGGGAUCAAUUCUCACAUCAGGCU